GUAAAUAUGGAGGGGAGGGGACAGAAAAAGUAAGUCAGGGGCAGUGGCCUCUGUUGAUCUUGCCCGGCUGGGGAGCGGCUGCCUGGGUUUGACAGAAUGUAAAUGGACUUUUGGCGCCUCAAAUUUGUAAGCAGUAAAGUAAGUCUUGGAAAAAAAUGUGGGAUUAAUUUUGACAUUAUCUCUCGCGAAUUAAAACUUCAAGGUUGUUCAGUUUUCCCUGGAGGAGACGUGACAUUGUUAGUUUCGCCCUAAUGCGCCGAGGAUGUGUACAUCGUGUGUUCAGGGCGGGUACGAGAUAUCUGCAGCAUUCCAACACAAAACGUUCUAAAAUACGGCCAAAGAAUCGUGUUCUUUGGCUCUUAAAUUGUUUGACAAAACGUCGCAGUUCUGGAGGGGGUGGGGCUAUAGUAACUCCAAAGUAUUGAUCCUUUGUCUAUUGUAUCAGCGAACGACACUCCAGAAGGGACCAGAUGCCACUUUGUACUCUUCUUUCGGCAACCAUCGACACCUUUUUUCUCCAUUAUUCCCAAACGUCAAUGUAAAAGUUCCUUGUAAAAAUCAUAGCCAAGACUAUGGAAUUUAGAAACAUUUAAUUGUCCCGAUUUAGGGAGUGAGAUUAUUGAUGGCUUUGUUUAUUCUUACAGUGUAUUUGUUAGCCCUCCACCCCAGUCUGACGUGUAAACAACUUUGUACUUAUAUUCAUUAAAUACUCUGUACAUUUAAUUAAUACAUAGGACACAGCACCAUUGUACUAAUUUUGAAAAACAUAAUUUUAAAAUGAAACAAAACAGGAGACGUAGUUAUAGUAAAUCUGUUUACAUGUACAGAAAUGUAUUUAACGUUCAAAGUCUAGUUUUGUAGCUUUAAUUUUUAGGUUUGUGAUUGAGGGUGCACGGAGUUUUUUAAAGCUGACUUGAAUAUUUUGUUGAAACAAAGGGAGAAUGUAUGUAACUUAUUACAAAUGUGUGUCCAUUUUAAAAAAAAACAAGUGGUAUCUAAUGAGUUAAUCAUUAAGAAGUAUGCACAAUGCGGCCAUUUCAGGACGUGAAAGAGUUUCUGUGGUGCUGCUUGAGACCGGAAGGAGCGAUUUGACAUCAAGUAAGAGUCUCUUCCACCUUAAUUAUCUCCCACCAUACUGGGAGGGAGGAGGGAGAAAGAGAGACAGAGAGAGAGAGAGAAAGAUUGAAUGAAAGCCACGCCCUUCACUCUGCCUUAAGAUCCUGGGAAGAAAACGACUAAUAAAAAGUCCCCCGGUGUGACAACUCCCCCUUCGUUGACCCCGAGGGGAUGCAGCAGCAAUUCAUGUUUUGGAGUCUUGAAAUGUUCAAAACAUGAAGCGCUGCCUCACCCCUUCGUGGGGAAAGUAGAAGGCGGCGAUCUGCAGGAUAAGACCGGGCAACAUUUGUUUCCUGAAAGUCCAACUCCGGAGCAGCAGGGUUCUUCCUUAAUCCAGAAGAGAGUGCCACAGGAUACUAGAUGAACACCCCACCCCGAAGGACCCCAAGUUCUGCUGCUCCCUCCAGCCAGCACCAGCAAGACACAGGAACUGUGCAUCAAAAAUCCUGGCGGGAAUAUGAACACAGAAGACUCCUGUUUCAAGAAAAUGCAAUCAUCUUUCAAAAGCUGUAAUUUAUAUGCAUUUUACCUCACUAGGUAUUGAAAACCACCGAAUUGGGGGGAGUUAAAAUAUAAUCAAUCACUAAGUGUAAUAUUAUACAUCCUUUAAACAUGUUACUGGAAAGUGUUUUAUGAUCUGUAAGUCAACAGUCCUGUUCCACCAUUUUCCUUCCUGCUGACCCCCAUACCCAUGCUUUUUUUUUGUUCUAGUUGGCAUGUAAACUUGUUUUUCCCACCAAAUGAGUCAGUCACGAUGGGAGCAUCAAUUGAUUCGAACAGAUGUGUGUCAAUGUUACUUGGAAAAAAACUACAUGCCAAUAACCAGGGAAAACAGAAAAGGCAGUGGUUGUAACUCUGUAAAAAUUUAUGCAUGCACACAGACAAGGACAAAAGUAGAACCCUAAACAGGAAAACAUUUGGAUAUACUCCAGCUCUGGGAGAUGGAAUAAUUGUAUGUUGCUUUUGAUUCCCAUUAAUAUGGGCAACUGUCCAAUUAAACAAAAAAACUAAUAAGGA